rnacentral:lncRNA from 1 species
GGGAGAGAAAAAGGAGAGCCUCUGAGCUCAACGGAGGAUUGUGCCUGAGAAGAACCCACAGAGAUACAGUUAAGCUAAUGAUCUCGAGAGGAUAUCGUCCUGGAUAAGGGUGGAGCCUACGCCCAAAAACAAGAUUACCUGAAAGAGAAAAGAAAGGGGGAAAACACACAGAGAUACAGUCGGGGAGGCCACAUGAAGAUGGAGGCAGAGACAGGAGUGAUGAGCCUGCAAGCCAAGGAAUGCCAAGGGCUGCCAGCAGCCAUGAGAAGCUGAGAGACACAGAGAACGAGUCCUCUGCCAGAGCCUCCAGAAGGAACUAACCCUGUCAAUACCUUGAUUUCGGACUUCUGGACUCCAGAACUGUGAGAGAAUAUAUUUCUGUUGUUUUAAGCCAUUCAGUUUGUAGUAAUUGGUUACAAUAGCCAUGGGAAGCUAACAUAGGGUCCUUCAACAAUCAAAGCAAAAAAGAGGACCUAUUAGCACAUGGAGUGCAAAGGAGGAAGGAAUGACUGAGCUGUUUGAAAGUGCAGCGGGAUGUCAUGGGCAACCAGAACUCAGGUCCAAAUUCUGCCAGAACUCUCCCUCUGUGUUAGUCUAUUCUCACACUGCUAAUAAAGACAUACCUGAGACUGGCUGAUUUAUAAAGGAAAGAGGUUCAAUUGACUCACAGUUCUGCAGGGCUGCGGGGGGGACUCAGGAAACUUACAAUCAUGACAAAAGUGGAAGCAAACACAUCCUUCUUCACAUGGCAGCAAGGAGAAGUGCCGAGCCAAAGGAGGAAAAGCCCCUUAUAAAACCAUCAGAUUUCAUGAGAACUCACUCACUAUCAUGAGCACAGCAGCAUGGGGAUAACUGCCCCCACGAUUCAAUUACCUCCCACCAGGUCCCUACCAAGACACGUGGAGAUUAUGGGAAUUACAAUUCAAAAUGAGAUUUGGGUGGGGACACAGCCAAACCAUAUCGGUCUCUUUCCUCUCUGCUUCACUGUCAUUGAAAACUGGCAUUCUUCACUUGGCAGCAAACAUUGCUGCUAACAUCUUUUGAGUUUUUUAUUGUAUGGCUUCAAUCAUCUCAGACAUACUAACUUCCUUUCAUAUUUCCAAAUUAUCUGAAAGAAUCUUACUUUCCUAAUUUGGGUCAUGUCUCACCCUGAACUAACCAACAGAGGCUAAGCUGCCAGGAUCUUAUAAAAUAUGACAGCUCCUAAGGAAACCACUUGAAUGAGUGGAGGUGCUGGGCACCCAGGAGUCCAUCACAUGGGAUCUUUUCUGUCUGUGAUAUGAUAGCCAUUUUUUUAAGGACAACAGUGUGGCAUUUGCAAAGACAUUUGUUUUGUGGACAAGACAUGCAAGUGAAUCUGAGCUCUGCCAUUUACUGGAAGUGUGACAUUAGCAAGUCACUUGGCCUUUCUGAGCUUUCUUAUCUUGUAAAAAAUGAGGAUAGAUUGUUUGAUAAACACUCUACACCUAGAAGGAUCUCAAUAAUGUUUGUUAAUAAUGGUCAUAGAAGUAUAGAACUUAAAUGGACCUUAAAGACAGACAAGGUUAAUCACCUUAUUUUUGCAGAUGAGAUUUCAGAAUUUAAGUUGGUGAGAAAACCAGGACAAGAAUUUAGGUUACUUAACUACCAGAUUAGUGUUUCUUUGUUAUUUUAUAUGAUCUGCCCCCAUCCCUGUGGAUAUAAAAUAAGGUCUCAUCUGAAAGGUGUUAUUCAACUAAAGAAAAAGCAGCUUUCUUAGAACAGACACUGAUAUUAGGCUUUAGAUUAGAUAUUAACACAGGGAUAAAGGUGUCAAAAAAGAAAGACCAAAGAAUUGUGUUGGGAGUUAAAACGUGAAGGACACAGUCAAGUGCCUGCAAAAUCUUGCCAUUUUUGAGCCUAUAAACAGUAAUUACUUUGAGACAGCAUUCACACAAAUAAACUAUGAUGGGUUCAGACCCCUCUGAUUAUUAAGCCAUCUUGUUUACAUCCCUCUAUCCUGUGUUUCUUUUCCUUUGGCUAUCCUUAUUAUAUAAAUAAAAACAGUUAGGAAGAGCCUAUUUGCGUCAGUUUGACAAUGAGAAAAUCAGGAGAAAGGUUUUUCCUUCUUUGGGCCAAGCUUUGGUCCUUGUAAGAACAAUUGCUAAUAUGUCUAGUGACUAUAGUUCUGAUCAUUUUUAUGCUUAUAAAAGCCUGAUGCUGAAUGCCUAUGUUUUAAAAUUUUUAUAAGAUCAACUUUGCUUUCAGAUAACCCUCCUUCCUCCACCUCACAAAAACUCACAAGCUGCAACCCUUCUGAUGUCCACUCCCACACAAACCAGCUUCAGGCCUUUUUCAAGAGUGCAGGAAAUUCUACCCCCCAAGUAUGGCACCUUGGCAUGCUGAGUAUUUUAAGCUGAAGGAAACAGAGAAAACCACAGAAGCAGAAAGGUCUUUCUGACCUCUCUUGAAGACCCUCAUGUGACAGGUGUCCUGCCCUACAUCCAGAGAGAAGGAAUGUUCCACAGACAGACUAAGAAGAAUCUGAAGAAUCAGGCCUUACUAAGUGCCCUCCAGCUCUGAUGUAGAUGGGAUGGAAUUCCAAGUGCUGGGAAUACUUCUAGCAGCUAAAGUUAAGAGCGUACCAGAUGUGUUCGAGAACCUUGAGUUGAUCUGAAAAGAGAAUCUGCUCAAGGAGAAAACAAUUGGAUGCUGUGGGGCACCACCUCCUUGAGGACCAAGGCACUCCAGCUGCCAGGAAUUUGGCUGCUAACCUCACACAGCUGAGCCUUCCAUGAAAAUUGCUCUCUGCCAAAGAGAACUUCCUAGUCCAAGGUCAUGUCUACUCUCCAGAGAAAUGCACUGACCCUGCACUCUACAGGACACUAUGCUCAUUCCGAAUGCUAAGAUGUGACUGGAGUGAUUUGCACCCGGAUGCCUAGACUCGCCAUCUGCUCAAAGACUGCUCAGAAAGCCCUCCCAUGCAUUCCCCUGCUGCAUACCAGCCCACUCUGCCUGCAGCUGCUGUCUGCAGGACUUCAUAUCUAUGCCACACU